UACGGGGGGGGCUAGCGUUGUUCGGAAUUACUGGGCGUAAAGGGCGCGUAGGCGGUCUGCUAAGUUGGAUGUGAAAACUCUGGGCUUAACCCAGAGCCUGCAUUCAAUACUGACAGGCUAGAGUUCUGGAGGGGAUAGCGGAAUUCCUGGUGUAGCGGUGAAAUGCGUAGAUAUCAGGAGGAACACCGGUGGCGAAGGCGGCUAUCUGGACAGAUUCUGACGCUGAGGCGCGAAAGCUAGGGGAGCAAACAGG
rnacentral:rRNA from 1 species